ensembl:lncRNA
CUAAACAUUCAGGCCCUGCUUCCUCCUCAUGAAUCUGCAGCCACCCUGCUCUGCAGCAUGAUGUGGGCGAGAAUGUGGCCUUUCUGCCUGCUUUAUCCCUCAGCUAUGCAGCAAUGAUGAUUACAACUAAAAAAAUAAUGCAAAGAUGCCAUGGUGCUGGACACAUAGAUGUCCUCCCUGCAUGUUUUGAACAAAUAAGGUCAUGAAUGCAGUUUGCUGACAUUACUUUUGACACCUACUCUCCUGUAACGGAAGCACUAAGUUUUGUGGAGGAUUCCGAAGGUUGUGCUACGAAACACCUGCCUACAGCGCCUGGCGACCUGGCCGGAGGAAACAAGAUUAAAGGAGACACAGUUAAGAGUGAAGGAGGUUGUGAGUGCAUGAAAACUUCUGCUCAGGAGUGCUAGCUCUGACCUGGAGCCACGUAGACUUUCUUCUUCCUCCGGGAGACCACCAAGCCCACGGGAGCAAGAGGUGAGCAAUCGUCCACGGCUGCUUGCUUUGGGCUCCCCGCUACGCCACGAGACAGCGCUAGAUGGCGCUAUAGUCAAGGCCCCAUAGGGUGCUCUAGGAAUUUGGGACUAUAGGACAUUGCCCACUCCUCCAGCACCAUCAUGCAUCAUCGUCCUGAUUUCCUCAGUGAUCACUGUAAGUCCAAAUGCAGCUCCUGGAAUGAUUCACAAUCACUCCAUUCUGCUCUGCGUGUGAUGAGGACGCCAGUGUUUCACGGUCCACUGCCCUGUCUUCUCUCGAGGACAGCAAAGCGGUUUUCCUUUGAAGAACCACUCCCCUACUUGCCAACGUGCUUCUUGUGGGUCCUGCCUACCACGGGUGCCACUUAGAGAUGGGUCCCCGCUGGCCGCAGUGGCCGACUCAGCGUGCAAGGUCACCAGGCCGGCGCUGAGGACCCUGGAGCCGCUGCAUCGGGGCUGCCGCCUGAGAUUCCCGCUGAACCGGGGACAGCGGGGCACGGUGAGCAAGGAGAGGCUCAGGGAGCACCACGUGGGUCCCAGGUCCCGUCAGGAUGGAAGCUGCCGCCCACGGGCCUCCCCGUAGUGCCAGCAAGCAAAUCCUCCUCUCUUCUGCAUAGUCCGGUUUGAGUUUGGGUUUUGACAUCUGGACCUGAGAAUUAUAAUAUAAUCCCUAAGCUGACCCUACCUCCUGCCCCAUCCUGGGGGCAUUUCAUCGCACCCCCUUGGAGCACUUUCUGGGUGACCACUGCUGUCACCAUCUUGCCUGAGACACACGGUCCACCUCCUUUAGAUGGGCAAAACCUGGUUCCCUGCGACCCUCAGAAGAGCAUUUCCGAUUCUGUGGCCCCCACCAGUACUGUUCCCGUCAUGAAUACACGGGGUUCUUAGCAUUUGCUUAGGAUCAUUUAUAAUAAUGAUAUAUACACUCUGG